rnacentral:ncRNA from 2 species
AAUGUCUUGCAGGGUUGGGUGAAAUUCCCUAUCGGCGGUGAAAGCCCGCGACUCCCGCGUCUCACGAUGCGGGACUGAUUCGGUGAAACUCCGAGGCCGACGGUCAGAGUCCGGAUGGAAGCAGGAAGAG